GACAGAGGGUGCAAACGUUGUUCGGAAUUAUUGGGCGUAAAGAGCGUGUAGGCGGUUCGGUAAGUCUGCCGUGAAAACCUGGGGCUCAACCCCGGGCGUGCGGUGGAUACUGCCGGGCUAGAGGGUGGUAGAGGCGAAUGGAAUUCCCGGUGUAGCGGUGAAAUGCGCAGAUAUCGGGAAGAACACCCGUGGCGAAGGCGGUUCUCUGGGACGGUACUGACGCUGAGACGCGAAAGCGUGGGGAGCGAACAGG
rnacentral:rRNA from 1 species